rnacentral:rRNA from 1 species
UGGGGAGUAUUGCGCAAUGGGCGAAAGCCUGACGCAGCCACGCCGCGUGAGUGAUGAAGGCCUUCGGGUUGUAAACCGCUGUCGUAGGGGAGAAAGGGUCGUUGAAGAAACGACUUUGAUCUAUCCUAGGAGGAAGUCCGGGCUAAGUUCGUGCCAGCAGCCGCGGUAACACGAACCGGACAAACGUUAUUCGGAAUUACUGGGCUUAAAGGGUGCGUAGGCGGUGCGGUAAGUGCGGUGUGAAAUCCCACGGCUCAACCGUGGAAUUGCGCUGCAUACUGCCGUGCUAGAGGGAGACAGGGGUAAGCGGAACUGAUGGUGGAGCGGUGAAAUGCGUUGAUAUCAUCAGGAACACCGGUGGCGAAAGCGGCUUACUGGGUCUCUUCUGACGCUGAGGCACGAAAGCUAGGGUAGCGAACGGGAUUAGAUACCCAGUAGUCCCUGAGCGGGCUGGCAAGGCGCAU